GGUUUUGGCCUAUCCCUACCCUGCAUCCCACAGCCAAUCCAUCCUCGCCUCGUCCCACUCCCGCACCAACCACCACCCAAACCCUAGCCCUGUUUCCCUGCGAUCCCCACAGCCUCUCCCGCCUCCUCCAUCCCUCCUCCUCGCCUCGCCAUGGCCUCCGCCCCGGGGCCUAGCCCCACCACUUCACCUUCCUUUUCUUCGUUGUCUGCGCCCGUCAGCGAGGCCUGGCUCCAGAUCAGGUGCGGGUUAGGCGAGCUCGGUGGUGGGAUGAAUGGGCAGAGGAGGUGGGCGAUGAGGGCAGGCAACAGUCGGGCGCGGCGGCCAUGGCCAAGGGCGCGGCUGGGGAGCUACGCACACGUCGAGUAACGGCGACCGCAUCCGGUGCCAACACCGAGCCGGAGCUGGGUCGAGGAGCCGGCCUCUGCCUUCGCCAUUGCCUGAGAGAAGCAACACCGACGUUGGGCUUUCCAUGUGCAGGAUGAUGAGGUAUGGCAUGGAAUGGUUGGGUUUUGAGUGGUAGGUGAUCCCUAUGCCGGCGGUCAUAGCGGCCAUCAUUGCCAAGCAGUAGAAGAGAAUGGUAACCAAAGCCACCUUUGUUGAUCAUGGAUUUAGAAGAAAGCCAACAGAGUAUGAAAAGGUUCUCAUGGGACUCACCCUGAACUGAAAUCUGUGUUCAACCUUGGUAUAAUUCUGUGACAAAAACCCCAAGUGGUCCAAUAUUUUGUUUAUUUAGUGCCUGUUGUUUUUGGUUUGUUAUAACCGAAUUUACAACCUACUAUUCAUGCAUUUCUUUUAUUCUGUUUUGGUGGGUUCUAAACUAUGAAAUUAGGACUAUAGUUUAUUAGUUUGAGACCUGCUUCAGGAUAAAGAAUGGAAGGAAGAAUUCUUACUUCAUGAUGACACACAUGAUUGUCAAACUACAGAAAAUACUUGACUUAUGUACUGUAUGAUUCCCGAGUUCCUUUGCUUUCAAGAUUUAAGUGGGGGAACUCGUGAGCUUAUGAAUGAGUGAUUCGGAUUUAUCUAAUUGGGAACUAGCAAAUCAUGCAGAGUAAGGGUUUUUUCUGCUCGUAUAGAUUGGUUGGUCGAUUGCUUCUUGAUACAUCAUACCUUAAACAUCAUAACUUCUGAUUGGGGGGGCCUGGUUGAUGCCCUGUCUGAUGUGAAUCUUUUGGGAUGCGCGGGUAUAUACUUCCACCACUAUAUACAAAAAUGAGUACUGCCUUUAACAUGGGCAUGAUAUUAAAUUUGAGUGAAUCUAAGGGCCUACUGGGUGCAUAAUCUGGGGCUAUAUUAUUUUAGAUUUUUUUUGUGUGUGCGAGGAGCAGUUCUACAAUCUCUUCAUGGUUCAUCAUUUACAUAUUAGUUGGAUGAUAUCUUUUAAUCUGUUGUGACUGACUUGCUGCUUAUAUGGACAAAUGAGUACAACAUUUAACAUGGGCAUGAUGUUAAAUUUGAGUGAAUAUAAGGGCCUACUGGCUGCAUAAUCUGUGGCUAUUUUUUGUGUGUCUGCGAGGAGCAAUUCUACUAUCUCUUCAAGGUUCAACGUUUAUAUAUUAUUUGGAUAGUAUCUCUUUAUUUUGUUAUUGUGACUGACCAGCUGCUUACUUAUAUGGACAACUUGAACUGAAAGCAAGAGUAGAAGCCCAUGAGAUGAGACACAAGGGAAAUAUGCAUGAAAAUGGCACAAUCAUGAUUUAGUUUGGUCAGCAAGUACCUAAUUACAAGUCAUCAGCUAACGAUUCUCCCCAAGAAGUGUUCGGAAUGAGCAAAGAAAGCUUUAAUGAGAAGAAUAUUGAUGUUGUACAAUAGCUGGAAGAUCACAAGAGAUCGACCUUUUGGAUGGUCUAAUACUUCCUAUAUGGGCACAUAGAAAAGCCACUACGCGUUGCUGAAGCUGGAGUCAUGAUGGCGUUAGUAACCUUGGUGAUGCUUCUUAUACGGCAAACCAACUUGUUCUUGAUUAUCCUAUGGGUUAUUUAUCCAGAUGUUGCACAUAGGAGUACCGUGGAGCUAAUAAUUAUUUGAAUCUGAGCUAGCCUACUAUUUCAAUCUGAGGUCAAAAAUUACAAAUCUCAGUGUUUGUUUUCAGGUCCCUCAUACAGUGGUUCAGAAAAAAACCUAUCCAAUGGAGAUGAUGCAUGAGGAGCAGCAAAGUCUAUGUUCUUUUUCUCGCUCGUGAGUUUACUUUUUUAUGGUUGGAUGCCAAGUAGCCAAUUAGACACUUUUUUGUAGAUUAGUUGCUUAGUUUCAUAUGUUAAACUGCGUUGUCGAGUGUAGUGAACAAGCAAUCAACGCGGCACAUGUGGAAGUUGUGAAUGGCACCGGUCUUGUCAUACUUAUGAGCAGGAGCACCGGCCACAUUACUCUUCAUGCCACUCUGAGCAGUUGGCUGCUGCUUGAGAUUGAUUUCCAUGUUGAAGGGAAGGGAGACCUGAUUGAGUUCCUGUAUAUGCAAGGAUAAAUAAGAAGGGGCAUUGUCGUGGUUGUUGCUGAAGGUGUUGGUCAGGAGCUGAUUACCGGGACUGAUGACAAGAAUGGAGAGCAGGAUGAGUAUGUCAACAUGCUGUUCCUUGACGUUGGCCUUCUUCUAUGAAGUUCACAUGCAAUUCUCCUCCAUGGUUAGAAAAAACUAAUUUAAACAUUUUGUUUCUUGGAUGGUUACUCAUUUCUCUUGCCGUUGUUGUAUCAAAACAAUUGCAUUUUCGUUGAUGUCUGCUUGGGCUCAUUUUCAAGGAGAAUGAGAUGUGGAAUAAACUACUCUGAAAUGGUUGGUUCCCUUCAAACAAUUUAUUAGCUAACUAAUUUUGGCUGA